GUAAUUAGCAAUUAGUGCCACAAAAUCACAUACAUAGGAUACCCCAUGAAAUAUGCUUCACAGAGCACCCCAAACCUUAGAGGACUCGCCACAAGUCAUGUGGGGUAGGUUAGCACAGGUGACAGAAGGGACUCAAUUUUCCAGUCCAACCUGUUACCGUAAGGACCACACCUUCUCAAAUCUCUGUGCAUCACACUGGUACUCCAUCAGCAGUCCUUGGGCCUUGGGUACAAAAGACUUGACUGCAUUCCUGAUAGAAAUUCCAACCACGCCCUCAUGGUCAUGCAUGCCUGGUGGCAGGACACUUAGUCAUCUCCGCCUAGUCAUUUCCGGGUCAUAUGUCCUUUGUAACCCAUGCCCCAUGGCUACGUGGUCAUGUAAUCAAGCGGACAUGACCACGUGAUCUAUGCACAUGCGUGGAAUAGCCACAUGGACCUGUGUGCGCAGGUGCAUCCUGGCCUUUAUAAGGCGGGCUCCAUCCCCACUCUCUUUCUCGCACAUGUUCUUCCACAGGCCUGAUCACGUCUAUCCCUUUCUCCUUGUCUUGAUAAAACUCUUGUUAGUGGAUUCUGUCAUGUUUUGUGACCUUUUCUUGGGGGUAAGAGCACCGCUAAAAACCUAUCAAUUCCCAGUUUAAUCACUGGCCAACUGCAGGACACUGGGUCAUUAUUUCAUUGACUAUAUUCUCAUCUUUAAAGCAGAUAUGGCCACAUUGUGACCAAGGACCUGUGAGACCAAAUGAAAUAAUACGAUAGGUGCAUGACACAGAGUAGGGACUUAUCGUGUGUGUGUACGUGUGUAAACAUGUGCACAGCUUAGUACCUACUCAAUUCACACUGAGUAUGACAGCGCCUCCACUUUCAUUCUCAAAUUAACCUAUUCCAAUUUAUGUCCACAGUAUACAUUCAGAAGACACAGCAAAUUGGAUCAUGACUUCAUGUGUCUCUUCAAGACACUGAGAACUCUCAAAAAGUCCUUUGAUUCAUCUCUGCUCAGUUUCCUGUGUUAGGACUCAUUCCAACUGCUCAGGAGAAGUGGAUGUUCACAGCUCCUGAGGACAUCUUGUCACAGCUGAAGAUAGGAACCUAGAGAAGUGGCUGCAGAUAAAUGGCCUCGCCAGCAUUUGCUUCCUUCAUCUUAGUCAUUCUGACUGGGAUUCAGGGCCUGUGUUGGGCUACUUGAUCCACUUGGAGUUGAGUUUUGUGCCGAUGAGAGACAAGGAUCCAGUUUCAUCCUCUCAUGUGCUGAUGUCCGUUUUCCCCAGCACUUGCUGAAGAUUCUGUCUUUUCUCCAAUGGAUUUUUAGCAUCUCUGUCAGAAAUCAGGUGGUUGUUGUGACCCUGAGCUACUACCAUCUGAAGAAUGUGUACAGGACUAUGUGUACCUUCCAUAACUAGCACCCCUAGAUCCCCACACUCCAUACCCCUCAGUCCCCAAAACCCAUGUCACAACUAUCUAAAGGUCUGAGCUUGGAGCCAUGUGAGUGUCCUACAGCAAGACCCUGCUAGUUCUGUGGAGGGUUCCUUCCUGUAUUCAGAAGCUGCAUCUAGUUCUAGCUCAGGUGGAACCAUUUUUGGUACCCAAAUCACACAUCAACACAUAAUCACUCCAGGACUGCCUUGAGCACCAUCCCAUUGAUCCUAAACUGUUGAGUUGGAGAGAUCCAACUGCUGUGGGAUGGUCUGUAUGUCAAAUGUGUUGCUGAUUGGUCAAUGAAUAAAUCACUGAUUGGCCCGUGGCCAGGCAGGAAGUAUAGGCGGGACUAACAGAGGAAAAUUGAGAGAACAGGAAGCUGGAGGGGAGACACUGCCAGCCGCCAUCAGGACAAGGAAGAUGUAAAGUACCGGUAAGCCACAAGCCACGUGGCAAGGUAUAGAUUAAUAGAAAUGGAUUAAUUUAAGCUGUAAGAACAGUUAGCAAGAAGCCUGCCACGGCCAUACAGUUUGUAACCAAAAUAAGUCUCUGUGUUUACUUGAUCGGGUUUGAGCGGCUUGGGACUGGCGGGUGAGAGAGAUUUGCCCUGACUGUGGGCCAGGCAGAAAAACUCUAGCUACAAAUGGCAUCCAACGUGGUGGCAAGAGUUUCCACCUAAAACCUGACAAAAAAAGAUUCUAAAAUGGAGCUAAAAACAGUUCCUAAUUGUCUCUCUCAAAUGAGCGGCAGCUGCCGGUUUGAGCUACUGGCGGGUUCCUAGCGUGCGUGCAUGCUCGACCCACCAUAUGGCGGGAAUGAGGCCUCUGCAAGUGGCACAUUAAGCUGCAUUGUGGAUUUAGCCUUUACUAGUACAAAACAAAAAAAAAAAAGGUUUCUGGGCUACACGCUGCUUGGAUAAAAGCAUAGACACACAAUGGCUCCCAGAGCUGGCGGUAAGCAUACCGCCGCCAUGUUGGGAAGCUGAGGUGGGUGGAGCCAGCAGCCACAGCUGCUGCAGCUUAAAGCAACAGAUUCACAAUAAGACAGAUUCAGAUGUAAUAGUUUAAAAUGUGUGUAAAAUAUAUGUAGGCUUAAAAGAGACAAAAAAAGGUGAUAUAUACAGUAUAAAAACAAAUACAUAGUUUUAAAAAAUAAAGUCUUUAAAGAGACAGUAAAAUUAAUAUAAAAAAUAAGCCACGGAAAGAUGAAUAUUACACAGAGAAUCUGGAUUGUGUUGUCUUUGGGAUUCUUAACUACAGAGAGAUAUUUGAUUGUAAAGGAAGCUGAGUUAAACCAAUAUGCGUAUUUUAAAGGUACCUUGACUUCAAAAUUUGGAUAUAAGGAUAUGUUGCUUUGGAAAGGAGAUUCUGCUUUUGUUUCCACAGAAAGCCAGAGGCUAUGGAUUUGUUCCAGAGUAAGAUACAUCAGGUUUGACCAGCCAAGACCCCCUGAAAGGUCUCCGAUGACACCAUGGCCCAGAUGAUCCAACAUCCAGAACCGUUUCAAGACAACUGGCUCAGAUGAUACAGCCUCACGGACUACUCCAUGAUCCUAAAAUUUUCUUUGUUUCCCCAGAAGAUACAGCGCCCCCCUCCAGCAGGAAGUAGUAAGAGAAACUACGCCCAAAUUCCCAAAUAUACCAAGCUGACUUUGGAGAUGUAUAAAGGUUAAAACCUUCCUUUUUAAGAAAAGAAAAGGGGAGGUGCUGUGGGAUGGUCUGUAUGUCAAAUGUGUUGCUGAUUGGUCAAUGAAUAAAUCACUGAUUGGCCCGUGGCCAGGCAGGAAGUAUAGGCGGGACUAACAGAGGAAAAUUGAGAGAACAGGAAGCUGGAGGGGAGACACUGCCAGCCGCCAUCAGGACAAGGAAGAUGUAAAGUACCGGUAAGCCACAAGCCACGUGGCAAGGUAUAGAUUAAUAGAAAUGGAUUAAUUUAAGCUGUAAGAACAGUUAGCAAGAAGCCUGCCACGGCCAUACAGUUUGUAACCAAAAUAAGUCUCUGUGUUUACUUGAUCGGGUUUGAGCGGCUUGGGACUGGCGGGUGAGAGAGAUUUGCCCUGACUGUGGGCCAGGCAGAAAAACUCUA